GACGAACGCUGGCGGCGCGCUUAACACAUGCAAGUCGAACGGAAAGGCCUGCUUUCCCUUGUGGAUUGCGGGUACUCGAGUGGCGAACGGGUGAGUAACACGUGAGUGAUCUGCCCCCAACUUGGGUAUAAGCCUGGGACACUGGGUCUAAUUCCCGAUAGGACUGCAGGGUGGUGCCUGUGGUGGAAAACGAUUUUCUAGUGGUUGGGGAUGAGCUCGCGGCCUAUCAGCUUGUUGGUGGGGUAAUGGCCUACCAAGGCGGCGACGGGUAGCCGGCCUGAGAGGGUGGACGGCCACAUUGGGACUGAGAUACGGCCCAGACUCCUAAGGGAGGCAGCAGUGGGGAAUAUUGCACAAUGGGCGGAAGCCUGAUGCAGCGACGCCGCGUGGGGGAUGACGGCCUUCGGGUUGUAAACUCCUUUCGACCGCGAGGAAGCCACCUGGUUGGAAGGGUGGUGACGGUAGUGGUAGAAGAAGCACCGGCUAACUACGUG
rnacentral:rRNA from 1 species